UGGUAGGACAGUUUAGUUGGGGCGACUACCUUUGAAUAAGAAACGAAGGCGAGCUUAUGGUAUUAUUAAAAUCUCAUUAGCCUCACAGUGAGGGGGACACCCCUAGCUGGCACAAGGACUUCCCCGCAUAGUAUAUACGUAAGGGGGUUCCUAUGUGGGCGAUAGNGACCCGAUANGAUUWACNAAAAUAANUA
rnacentral:rRNA from 1 species